CUGUCUUUUACUGUCUUUUUGUUCUUAACUUCUUUGUCUUUCCAAAAAACCAAACACUCUUCAAACAGAGUUUUCCAAGACAUUAAUGAUAAGGACCAAACCAAAGCAAAGAAAGAUUCCGAGUAUAGGCCUAGAGAGUACUGCUAUGAAGAGACUGGAGUCUCCUCCAUCUCUUAUAGGAUCUCACAAAUGGUACUUUCCUUAUUUGGGCUUUCUAUCUGGUGUUCUGGCCUCGCCAUUGAAGAUUUAUUCAUCGAUCAAAAGCUUUUCUUCUUUCUUUGGCUACGUGUCGCCGACACCACACCUGUACGUCUCUCCUUCGGCAUUUGUAUCUGCCUCUGCAUCUGCAUGACUGACACACAUACAUGAGAGAGAGAGAGAGAGAGAGAGGUAGAGAAAGAGAGAAUUGUAACCACACAGGAGAUAAGAUCAGUAGUCAUGAGAGGGAAUGAAGAGAGAGAAAGAGAAAGGUUUUCUCCUUCUGUUUUUGGUCAUUGAGGUCUGUGGAGGGUGUUGGCCUGAACAAACCCUAAAUCGAGGUCGACGUCUCGCCGUUCAUUUUUACAACAAAAGAAGCACGGAUCUUAGGUUUUUCUGACUUUUUGUACCUUUACAAAAAUGGGUUUUCCCUCUACUCUUCUCAGAUCUGACUCCUCCUCCUCCUCCUCCUCCUCCUCCGUCACUAGUUAUCUUCUUCGAGUGUUGAAUUGCUCCCUUCCCCUUUCGUUCUCUCUCUCUCUCUCUUUUUUUCCUUUUCUUUUUUCUUUCCAAAAUUGGGCUGUGUACCUCUCCUUUUCUGUCCCUCUGUAGACCGCUGUCAUCAUUCAUUGUUCCUUCACCAGAAGACUAUGAAAGCCGAGUUGUUGUUAGAUUUAUCUAAAAAUGUAAAAAAAAAUAUAAGAAAAAUGGUUGGGUUGGGUCGGUGAAGAUAGAAAUUGACAGAAGAGAGUGAGCACACAGAGGCAGAUGGCAUAAAGUGUGUUAUUGCUUUUGCGUGCUCAUUUCUCUUUCUGUCACCUGCUCACUCUCCCUUCCCUGCCGAAAUUCAAUUCAAUUCACCCUUAUCUAUCUACCAAUAGAUCCAUCCAAUAUCUGAUUCUGGCCUGGACUGUGUAUGCUCGCUGCUACUCUUCUCGAUCUCUCUCUCUCUCUCUCUCUCUCUCUCUCUCUCUCUCAAAAUGGAACAUUGCAUACGCCUUUGAAAUCGGUAAGUGAUUUUUUAUUUAUUUUGCUGCAUCGCAUAGACUAUCAUAUCGAUCUGAGCUUGCAGAAACUGAUUAGCUUGGAAGCGUGAUUUUUGAUGGUCUUUUAGUUCUACCAAGCGCCAACGUACAUACGAGAGACUAGAGUGAUUACUGUGCCAAACUAGCUGGUAAUCAACCUUCUGAUUAAUAUUAUAUAGCAUAUUAGCAUGGGACCAUUCCCCAUUCCCUUCACUCACGUAGCAACUACCUAGCUAGUAUGGUCCUGAUCACCUUAUUUCUCUUUGUUGUUUGUCUUCUCCAUCUUCCUUAAUUAACUGUGCAGCGUCUUGCUAUCAUCGCCAUGGCUGUCUCUUUUCUUUGUUAUUCUAUUAUCUCUUCCCUUUUUUCAAGUACUCAUGUGCAUGUGAUGUUCACUCGAUAAUGGGUUCUGCGGGCUUCUUCCUAUUGUGUUUUCUUUUCACCUGAAUCUAGCCGCAAUCUACGGAUUGUACACCUACCCAGUUCGUUCCUGUAGACAUAUUCUUCUUCUUCUUUGUCUGGGGGUUUUCAGAACGACGAUAUGUUAUUUUGCCCAUAAUUGGGUUGCUUGUAGUACUCAUCAGUACAAGGCUUUUUCCAUUCUAAUGAUUAAUAGUUGUUCUAUGUGGUUUUUAUCUUGCAAAUAUCUGGUUUAUCGUACACAUUACUGUAGAUUCCAGUUUGUGAAACAGAAAAAUUUAGUUGUUGUACUCUUUCUCUAAAAAAUUUCAUACAUAAUUAUAUACACAUAUAUCUAUCAGUUGUUAUAGCUAGUGUAUAUGUGAUGAUUUUACAGAUAUAAUUAUCUGGUAAUUUGGUUAUUCAACUCUUGUUAAUUGUUUAGUGCUUAGUUUGCAGGUAUUAGGCAUAUUGGUCCCUUACCAUUAUCAUGUCACAUUAUUUUUUGGGUUCGAUCAGUUGUGUUUUCAUUUCAUAUAAGUAGUUCUAUUAGUACUGAUUCCAUUUGUAUCACUAUUUUAUAUGAUGCACUGCUCUUGCUUUCUGGAUUUUAUUAAGGUUAAAAAUACAUCUCUUAGUCAGUGAUUACUAUCUCUGAACCAAAUAUUUUUGGAUGGCUCAAAGUAACCAAGAGCACAAUUUGCUUCUUGUGUAGAUGGUUUCAAAAUGAAGAGAUGUGUCUAGCAAAACCAAUAUAUAAUGAUUGGGUAAAUAUAUAAGACUGGUCAUUGUUUUCACUUUUUCUUAAUGUUUCUUGCUGAUUGACUCAUAUAUGCCAUCAUAAGUGCUUAACAACAAAAGGUUCGUGGGGGCAUGUGUGAGUAACAGAUCAAAUGGAUGUGGCUGGUGUGGUAUAUAGCAUGUGUAGCCAACUACUACUGAAAUAUAUAUUUGCUGUUAAAGCCAAAACUCAAUCUGUUUGUCUGUAAAUAUAAGCAAGAUCCAAGUACAAAGCAGAUGCAAUGCAUCAGUAUGAUCAUAUGCACAUGAAAGUCAAAUUUGGUCUUCCUUUCAGUUAUGUUCAUGCAUAUUUACUACAAUUAAUUAAUUUAUCGACUCAUAUAUGCCGUCAUAUAUACGUUCUUAACAACAAAAGGUUCGUGAGGGCAUGUGUGAGUAACAGAUCAAAUGGAUGUGGCUGGUGUGGUAUAUAGCAUGUGUAGCCAACUACUACUGAAAUAUAUAUUUGCUGUUAAAACCAAAACUCAAUCUGUUUGUCUGUAAAUAUAAGCAAGGUCUAAGCAAAAAGCAGAUGCAAUGCAUCAGUAUGAUCACACGCACAUGAAAGUCAAAUUUGGUCCUCUGAGUUAAAUUCAUGCAUAUUUACUACAAUUAAUUAAUUUGUUAAAAAGCAAAUAAAUUUGACUUUCAUGUGCAUAUGAUCAUACUGUUUGCUAGCUAGGCAUCUGCUGGAUGAAUUAGAGAGGGUUUCUAUUUGUUCUUAGCAUUUGAUUUUCUUAAUUUAUUGAAACAAGCUAUUAAGUGCAUAUUUUCUUUUUUAUUUUGUUAUCUUCUUUGGAAAAUAGAUUUUAUAAGUGUUUAUUUCACUUGAGGAACUAGUAAAAAACUAAAUCGAACUUUUUUUUUCUAAAGGGAACUAAAUCAAACUUUUACAAGAACUAAUUGCAAUUUAAAACAUGUUUUGUUAGAAGACAUCAACGUUAGCUGUUAGGGAAAAUUGUUGUUAUUAGAAAGGCUGAUGGAGAAGUGAGGUCAACGAUCGAUGUAUAUCAAGCUCUUGUCAGCUUAUUUACUCAAAGAGAAAAGAUAAUUAGUAGAUUACAAUCUUACAGAUUACAAGCUCCCAGUCACCGUUGUUUGUGCCGUCAAUUCAUUCUCUUUAAGGAAUUCUUUAUGACAAUUCUUGAGAUAACAAUUUGCAUAUUUAAAGCAUCUAUAUAUGUUUGGAUUUUCAUGUCAGUUAUUGAUAAUAAGUUUAACUGUUUAACAAUAAAUCACAUGAUUUUCAUAGGAUGUAGAUGUCAUAAGCCAUUGUAAGAACACAUUUUUAUAAGAUAUAAUGUAUUGACUGAUCUUUAAAAUAAUUUUACAUCAUUUUGUUUUUUUGGUAGUAAGUGCAUUUUGAAUGAGUAACUGAACUUUUGAGGGUACUGUUUGCAUUCUAGCUAGAUGAUAACCUGAAGAAUUAAUCAGAUUUGGUUGAUUUGGCAUCUAGCUAAGUCGGUUCAAUGAUGUACGUCAUGUUCUGAAUUAGACUUGGAAAAGAAAUGGGAGAAAUUGUGUAUUUACAGUCUGAUACUCUAAUCAUUGGGAGAUGUAGGUCAGAUUUGGUUGAUUUGGCACACUUUAAUGAUGUAGGUCAUGUUCUGAAUUAGACUUGGAAGAGAAAUUGGAGAAAAUGUGUACGUACGUACAGUCUAAUACUACAAUCUAAUUAAUUUGGUCCUUUUUGAAAUAGUUAUUACAGGGUGAAUUCUUUUGGGGGUUCAAUUGUCCAUGGGGAGUUGACUAAAGAAGCAAUAAACUUGGGUAGAUUUAAAUAACCGCACAGCAGUUGUAGCUGAGCCGUUCUUUUUUAUGAUAAUGUUUGGAUCUUUAUUUAUUUGCCGUUUUCAGUUACUGAAGGUAGACUAUGAUUUGGAUGGUGGAUGCUGUGUGCACGCUCAAAUAUACAUAUCACUUGCAGACUAGCUAUGAACAUCAAUUCAUUUGUAGGUGUCUGCUUUAUAAUCAUAGAAACUGAGGACCUUGCUUUAUUCUUUCUUUACUUUGCCCAUGUCCGGCUGGAUUUGAUUAUCGUAAGAACUGAUCAGUGUGGAUUAGUCUAUCAGUUCAUGUAGAUUUGUUUAGUUGUGAUCAAGUCUUAAUUUGGCACUGGGAUUUAUGGAUAGGUUAUGAAAUACUUGUGAAAUGGAAUGGAUUUUUUUGAUUAAUUACUUCAACUAAAGUACUUUAUGUAUUGUGAUCUUAUGAAUUGUGUACAUACUUAUGAGUGGAAUUGCAGUUUGUAAUAGUAAUUACACUGAAGCAGUCUACACUGAAGUAAUUAAAUGUUUUCAUUUGUUGAAUUUGUUCAAUGCUUGUCAAAGAAAUUAUGGAUUGACUAGACUUGAGUUUGAUCAGUAAUUUUUUUUUUUUGGGUUCUUUAUUCUUUUCCAAAGUAAUGUAUUCCUACAACCAUAAAAGCAAAGAACUUGUAGUGGCAGACUGGCAGCCAUAGGCUGUUAAUCUUAUUGUUAAUACUAUUAAUUUUUUUUUUUUUUUUUUGGGUUUUGCAAAUACAUAUUAUCAUUGCCUCAUUGGAAUUUCCUAUAUGAAUAUAUUAAAUUAGCUCUUGUCAUGUAUUUCGUUUGCCGUGAAGUAUACUAGUCUGGCAAUAGAUGAUCAUAUUAAUGAUUAAAAUCCAAAAUAAGUUGUCUAUGAGGCCAAUUUCUGCAGUUUCAUACAUAUUGCAUGUGAAUUUGGUUGAGGAAUUCUUAAGAUAUAUUAUACAAUGUUUGCAUGGAUCAUUUGUAUGUAUUUUCUCAGUUUGGUGGGCACAAAGAACCUGGAAAGUGGUAAAUCGUUGCUUUUAUUUCUGUUUUAGUUUUGUUUGAGAGAAUUAAGUGCAAGUUAAUUGUGAAAAUAAUCACAAGUUAAGCUUUUUGAAAGUACUGAACAGAGGCAAAGUAUGCGUGGCCAAAGCCAUUAGUGCUUCUUCUGGCAAAUAAUUCAAGAGAUAUUUAGUUGUUUAUUCACUCAUGGAUGGAGUCCAUGGACUGAAAGUACACGAACAUUGAGAGAGCAAUGAUUUUCUGUCAAAGAAGAAGCAAUGUUUCUCAGGCUGAAAGGCUGAAUAUUAUUGGCUCGUUCGCUAUUAACAGGAAUUGGAAAACACAAUGCAUGGUGAGGGAGAGCAUGUGCCUGAAGCUAGUAGUAUUUGAAGUGUCAAGAACCUAGUCAUCCGUCUUUGAUUGCUUGUUCGCUAUUUUGUUCUUUUUUCUUGUAUGAAAAUAGGGGACAAGAAAGCUUUUGUUGGGAACAUGAUUGUGAA